UACGAAGGGGGCUAGCGUUGCUCGGAAUCACUGGGCGUAAAGGGUGCGUAGGCGGGUCUUUUAAGUCAGGGGUGAAAUCCUGGAGCUCAACUCCAGAACUGCCUUUGAUACUGAAGAUCUUGAGUUCGGGAGAGGUGAGUGGAACUGCGAGUGUAGAGGUGAAAUUCGUAGAUAUUCGCAAGAACACCAGUGGCGAAGGCGGCUCACUGGCCCGGUAUGACGCUGAGGAGA
rnacentral:rRNA from 1 species